rnacentral:misc_RNA from 1 species
UGAACAAAAAAUCCAUUGCUUACUCAAGAGCGGACAAAGUGCAAACAGACGCGUGGUACACACAGGAAGGAAUGCGGGCAAUUUGGGUUUUGAUGGGUAGAUGCCCAAACUCACUUUUUUUUUUCCACGUGCCUUUAAAUUGUACUGGGAGGCUCUGGAAUUUGCCAUUGUUGUUGCAAUGGCUGUACAGUGUACAUGAUUCCAAAGGUUCUGAAUCGAAUUAAA